rnacentral:siRNA from 1 species
UUGGGGGGUCAUAACAUAGU